UACGAAGGGGGCUAGCGUUGUUCGGAGUUACUGGGCGUAAAGGGCGCGUAGGCGGUACUUCAAGUCAGGCGUGAAAGCCCCGGGCUUAACCUGGGAAUGGCAUUGGAAACUGGCGGGCUUGAGUGUGGCAGAGGGGGGUGGAAUUCCGCGUGUAGCAGUGAAAUGCGUAGAGAUGCGGAGGAACACCGAUGGCGAAGGCAGCCCCCUGGGCUAACACUGACGCUCAGGCACGAAAGCGUGGGGAGCAAACAGG
rnacentral:rRNA from 1 species